rnacentral:pre_miRNA from 1 species
UGCUGCUGCUGCUGCUGCUGUUGCUGCUGCUGCUGUUGCUGCAAGUUUCUUAUAGCAUACUGCAGCAGCAGCAGCAGCAGCAGCAGCAGCAGCAGCA